rnacentral:rRNA from 1 species
CCUACGGUGUGCAGCAGUGGGGAAUAUUGGGCAAUGGGCGAAAGCCUGACCCAGCAACGCCGCGUGAAGGAAGAAGGCUUUCGGGUUGUAAACUUCUUUUGACAGGGAAGAGAAGAAGACGGUACCUGUCGAAUAAGCCACGGUUAACUACGUGCCAGCAGCCGCGGUAAUACGUAGGUGGCCAGCGUUGGUCGGAUUUACUGGGUGUAAAGGGAGUGUAGCCGGGCUGACAAGUCAUGUGUGAAAUCGGGGGGCUCAACCCCCGGACUGCAUUUGAAACUGGUGGUCGUGAGUAUCAGAGAGGCAGGCGGAAGUCCUAGUGUAUCGGUGAAAGGCGUAGAUAUUAGGAGGCACCCCAGUGGCGAAGGCGGCCUGCUGGACGACAACUGACGGUGAGGCGCGAAAGCGUGGGGAGCAAACAGGAUUAGAUACCCCAGUAGUC